UAUAAAAAGCAACGAGAUAUUAUUAUGAACCGAGCCACCAAGAUCAAUGGCGAAAAUAGCUUGGUACGGUGUUUGUGAAUGGGGAGCUGUUGGUUUCUCUCUUCCUCCCUUCUGCCCAAAAGUGAGUAAGAGAGAAAGGUCAGUCUCUUUCUCAUCGGAUUGGUUUCAGGCAGACGAAUAAUACGAUUAAGGAAAAGAUUUGAACACCAAAUUGUCUGGCAAUGGUAAGAGUGCGAUAUGUUUCAGUAGUUGAUUGGACUGGUUUGAGAUCUAGUGAGAAUAUACCUGUGCUGCAUAUGUGACAUUCAGAGAUGCUUAUGCUCUAGCUUGAAACUGUUAUUUUGCUCAGUAUAUGAAAAAGUUCGACACUUGAAUACUCAUAUUGGUCAACCUCACUUUAGUCUUCCUACGUUUCUAUCUAUUCUUGUGCUGCAUGAAGUGACUCCAGGUAAUUGUGGAUACUAAUGGUUUAUUUUAUUUUAUUUAUGAUGGUAACCUCUUGCACAAUUUCCUUUGCCAUGUCUUGAAGUCGGAUAUCUUAUUGCACCGCCAGAAGGAAACCAAUUGGACCUCAGAGUGAUUGGAAGCUGAAUAAUAAUAUCCAUGUAUCCAAGAAGGAGCACAAAAGCAAAAAAAUUCAGCCAGGAAUCUCUGAUAUAGUUGAAUUUCCAAAAAAUUGCUGGAUGCUUACAGAGGUUAAAAAGCUCACAGAAGCAGAAUAUUUGCAGGCAUUUCAACUCUGACCAUCCCUGUGCAGUUCUAAGCAAACAAAAUGGAUUCAAUUUGGAUAAACUUUGCACUCAAAGCAUCAACUGAUGACCAAAGCAAUGUUCAUUUCUGUUCUGUUUGUCUAGAAGAAGUGUUAGAGCCAAGAUUGGGAAGCUACGGUUCAAUGUUGUCAGCAAGCUCUUUAUCAUUUCCACUUUGAGUUUUGACGUACACCUCCACAUUUGGUUCAUGAGCCGUGUUCUGUGUAGAUAUUGGUAGAGAGAGAUCUGGUGAAUAUACAUGUGCUGCAUAUUUCGUUAAAGUUGCUCCAUAUGUGACAUUAAGAGAAUAUAAUAUUUUGACUCCCAAAAGUUGCUCUAUUUUAACAAAAUAUAUCUGCAUACUUGCAUGGGUUCAGAUAUUAUUUUUGCAAUCUGUAAAAUAAUAACAGCUUCAGUUACAUUACAUAUCUAGCAAGAAAAUAAACCGAUA